GAUGAAGAACGUAGUGAAAUGCGAUAAGUAAUGUGAAUUGCAGAAUUCAGUGAAUCAUCGAAUCUUUGAACGCACAUUGCGCCCAUUAGUAUUCUAGUGGGCAUGCCUGUUCGAGCGUCAUUUCAACCCUUAAGCCUAGCUUAGUAUUGGGAAUCGACUUUACUGUCGUUCCUCAAAUUCAACGGCGGAUUUAUAGCAAUCUCUGAACGUAGUAAUUUUUUUCCUCGUUUUUGAAAUACUAUAAACCUCAGCCGCUAAACCCCCAAUUUUUUUAUGGUUGACCUCGGAUCAGGUAGGAAUACCCGCUGAACUUAAGCAUAUCAAAAGCGGAGGA
rnacentral:misc_RNA from 1 species